rnacentral:rRNA from 1 species
GAGUUUGAUCAUGGCUCAGAUUGAACGCUGGCGGCAUGCCUUACACAUGCAAGUCGAACGGCAGCAUGAUCUAGCUUGCUAGAUUGAUGGCGAGUGGCGAACGGGUGAGUAAUACAUCGGAACGUGCCCUGUAGUGGGGGAUAACUAGUCGAAAGAUUAGCUAAUACCGCAUACGACCUGAGGGUGAAAGUGGGGGACCGCAAGGCCUCAUGCUAUAGGAGCGGCCGAUGUCUGAUUAGCUAGUUGGUGGGGUAAAGGCCCACCAAGGCGACGAUCAGUAGCUGGUCUGAGAGGACGAUCAGCCACACUGGGACUGAGACACGGCCCAGACUCCUACGGGAGGCAGCAGUGGGGAAUUUUGGACAAUGGGGGCAACCCUGAUCCAGCAAUGCCGCGUGUGUGAAGAAGGCCUUCGGGUUGUAAAGCACUUUUGUCCGGAAAGAAAUCGCACUUACUAAUAUUAGGUGUGGAUGACGGUACCGGAAGAAUAAGGACCGGCUAACUACGUGCCAGCAGCCGCGGUAAUACGUAGGGUCCAAGCGUUAAUCGGAAUUACUGGGCGUAAAGCGUGCGCAGGCGGUUGUGCAAGACCGAUGUGAAAUCCCCGGGCUUAACCUGGGAAUUGCAUUGGUGACUGCACGGCUAGAGUGUGUCAGAGGGGGGUAGAAUUCCACGUGUAGCAGUGAAAUGCGUAGAGAUGUGGAGGAAUACCGAUGGCGAAGGCAGCCCCCUGGGAUAACACUGACGCUCAUGCACGAAAGCGUGGGGAGCAAACAGGAUUAGAUACCCUGGUGGUCCACGCCCUAAACGAUGUCAACUAGUUGUUGGGGAUUCAUUUCCUUAGUAACGUAGCUAACGCGUGAAGUUGACCGCCUGGGGAGUACGGUCGCAAGAUUAAAACUCAAAGGAAUUGACGGGGACCCGCACAAGCGGUGGAUGAUGUGGAUUAAUUCGAUGCAACGCGAAAAACCUUACCUACCCUUGACAUGCCACUAACGAAGCAGAGAUGCAUUAGGUGCUCGAAAGAGAAAGUGGACACAGGUGCUGCAUGGCUGUCGUCAGCUCGUGUCGUGAGAUGUUGGGUUAAGUCCCGCAACGAGCGCAACCCUUGUCUCUAGUUGCUACGAAAGGGCACUCUAGAGAGACUGCCGGUGACAAACCGGAGGAAGGUGGGGAUGACGUCAAGUCCUCAUGGCCCUUAUGGGUAGGGCUUCACACGUCAUACAAUGGUGCAUACAGAGGGUUGCCAAGCCGCGAGGUGGAGCUAAUCCCAGAAAAUGCAUCGUAGUCCGGAUCGUAGUCUGCAACUCGACUACGUGAAGCUGGAAUCGCUAGUAAUCGCGGAUCAGCAUGCCGCGGUGAAUACGU